rnacentral:miRNA from 1 species
UUUACUCUUUGAUCUAACGUACA